rnacentral:rRNA from 1 species
GGAAUUGUUCGCAAUGGGCGCAAGCCUGACGACGCAACGCCGCGUGGAGGACGAAGACCUUCGGGUCGUAAACUCCUUUCGAUCGAGACGAAUGGCCUUCGGGUGAACAAUCCGGAGGAGUGACGGUACCGAGAGAAGAAGCCCCCGCUAACUCCGUCCCAGCAGCCGCGGUAAUACGGGGGGGGCAAGCGUUGUUCGGAAUUACUGGGCGUAAAGGGCUCGUAGGCGGCCAACUAAGUCGGACGUGAAAUCCCUCGGCUCAACCGGGGAACUGCGUCCGAUACUGGAUGGCUUGAGUUCGGGAGAGGGAUGCGGAAUUCCAGGUGUAGCGGUGAAAUGCGUAGAUAUCUGGAGGAACACCGGUGGCGAAGGCGGCAUCCUGGACCGACACUGACGCUGAGUGAGCGAAAGCCAGGGGAGCAAA